rnacentral:rRNA from 1 species
AGCAGCCGCGGUAAUUCCAGCUCCAAUAGCGUAUAUUAAAGUUGUUGCAGUUAAAAAGCUCGUAGUUGAAUUUCGGGAUCAAGGAAUCGGUCAUGCCUUGGUAUGUACUGGUUUUAUUGGUUCUCACCUUCUAAAGAACCAUAAUGUCAUUCAUUUGAUGUUAUGGGGAAUUAGGACUGUUACCUCGAAAAAAUUAGAGUGUUUAAAGCAGGCUUACGCUUGAAUACAUUAGCAUGGAAUAAUGAAAUAGGACAUCCGAUUCUAUUUUGUUGGUUUCUAGGAUCGAUGUAAUGAUUAAUAGGGAUAGUUGGGGGCAUUAGUAUUCAAUUGUCAGAGGUGGAAUUCUUGGAUUUAUUGAAGACUAACUACUGCGAAAGCAUUUGCCAAGGAUGUUUUCAUUAAUCAAGAACGAAAGUUAGGGGAUCGAAGACGAUCAGAUACCGUCGUAGUCUUAACCAUAAACUAUGCCGACUAGGGAUCGGAUGAUGUUAAUUUUAUAAUGACUCAUUCGGA